rnacentral:rRNA from 1 species
CGCAUCUGUGCAUGCAGCAUAUCAAUAAGCGGAGGAAAAGAAACUAACAAGGAUUCCCUUAGUAACGGCGAGUGAAGCGGGAAGAGCUCAAAUUUGAAAUCUUCAAGGUUUUACCUUGACGAAUUGUAGUUUAAAGAAGUGUUUUCUGUUGAAGUUUUGGUAAAAGUUCUUUGGAAUAGGACAUCAUAGAGGGUGAGAAUCCCGUAUUUGACCAUUAUUUUCAGCUGUGUGAUACACUUUCAAAGAGUCGGAUUGUUUGGGAAUGCAGUCCAAAAUGGGUGGUAAAUUUCAUCUAAAGCUAAAUAUUGGCGAGAGACCGAUAGCGAACAAGUACCGUGAGGGAAAGAUGAAAAGAACUUUGAAAAGAGAGUUAAACAGUACGUGAAAUUGUCAAAAGGGAAGCGUUUGACACCAGUGUUGUUUUCUCGAAAAUCAAUUAAAAAGAGUUAGAUUUUGUUGUGUAUUGACCUUAACAGCUUGCAUUUCAAUUUUCUUGCUUUUUUUAAUGCACUUUUCGUUUAACAAGUCAACAUCAGUUUCUUUUGUUGUAAAAAGGUCAUUGGAAGGUGGCUUUCUUUUCGGAGAAAGUGUUUAUAGCCUUUGACUCCUGCAAUCGGAGAGACUGAGGUCUGCAGCGUAGAUCCUUCGGGGUUAGAUACAUUUGUGCUAAGUUAUAGCUUUUUAUAGACAACUUGUUGACUAUGAUUAGUCUUGUAGCUUACUCGCUUAUGCUAUUUUACCUACGCUUAGGAUGUUGACGCGCGUGUGUGCGUG